UUCGGAGAGGGAGCAUGAGAAACGGCUACCACAUCUAAGGAAGGCAGCAGGCGCGUAAAUUACCCAAUCCUGACUCAGGGAGGUAGUGACAAGAAAUAGCAAACCGGGAACCUCAUGGUUUCACGGUAUUGCAAUGAGAACAAUUUAAAACCCUUAGCGAGAAUCAAGUGGAGGACAAGUCUGGUGCCAGCACCCGCGGUAAUUCCAGCUCCACUAGCGUAUAUUAAAGUUGUUGCAGUUAAAAAGCUCGUAGUUGAACCUCUGUCUGGGGCUAGUUUUGGCUUUGGUCAGGCUAGUUCUAGGCAUCCGCCUACAAGACUUAGAGGGCAUUCAGUUGUUCACUAGGAGGAGUAGGCAUUUUACUUUGAAAAAAUUAGAGUGUUUAAGGCAGGCAAUCGCCCGCAUAUAUUAGCAUGGAAUAAUAGAAUAGGACACUUUUCCAUUUCGUUGGUUAUUGGAAUCGUGUAAUGAUUAAUAGGGACAGUUGUGGGCAUUUGUAUUUAAUUGUCAGAGGUGAAAUUCUUGGAUUUAUUAAAGACAAACUAACGCGAAAGCAUUUGCCAAGGAUGUUUUCAUUAAUCAAGAACGAAAGUUAGGGGAUCAAAGACGAUCAGAUACCGUCCUAGUCUUAACUAUAAACUAUUCCGACUCAAUGUUUGACUGGCUUAUAUAACCAGUUGAGCGUUGUAUGAGAAAUCAAAGUCUUUAGGUUCUGGGGGGAGUAUGGUUGCAAAGCUGAAACUUAAAGGAAUUGACGGAAGAGCACAACCAGGAGUGGAUUCUGCGGCUUAAUUUGACUCAACACGGGGAAACUUACCAGGUUAAAACAAUAGUGGGAUUGACAGUUUGAGAGCGCUUUCUUGAUUGGUUGGGUGGUGGUGCAUGGCCGUUCUUAGUUGGUGGAGUGAUUUGUCUGCUUAAUUGCGUUAACGAACGAGACCUUAACCUGCUUACUAGACUGGCGAUCAUCAAUCGUUAGCUCUUCUUAGAGGGACUUUGGUUGUUUUAACUCCAAGGAAGUUUGAGGCAAUAACAGGUCUGUGAUGCCCUUAGAUAUCCUGGGCCGCACGCGUCAUACAAUGACUAGUUCAGAAAGUUUCUCCUGACCCGAAAGGGGAUGGGUAAUCUUGAUAAUACUAGUCGUGUUAGGGAUCGAUCUUUGCAAUUAUAGAUCUUGAACGAGGAAUUCCUAGUAAGUGCGGUUCAUCAGACCGUACUGAUUACGUCCCUGCUCUUUGUACACACCGCCCGUCGCUUCUACCGAGUGGGUGGUCCGGUGAGAUAAUUGAACUUCGCAGGUAACUGAGAGGAAAGAUUAUCAAACCUAUCCACCUCGAGGAAGAAGAAGUCGUAACAAGGUU
rnacentral:rRNA from 1 species